AGAGAGAGAGAAAGAGAGGGAGCGAGAGAAGAGAGGGAGAGAGAGAUGUCGGCGGUGAAGGCGGUGCGACGGGUCCAGGAACGGGGCAGCGGGUUCUUCGACCCCGAUCUAGGGAACGCCCUGGUACCCGAUCUCUGCGUCGUCAAUAAGAGCUCGUUGCUGUGGGAGCUCCUCGGCCAGAUCAUGGCAUCUCGCGUCAUCUCUCCCAUUCACGCCCUCGCCCUCCUCAUCUCACGCGCCGGGACAGCAUAAAAUGGAUCACCUGUAAAUACAUUAGAUGAUUCUUUUCAAAGGCCAAUGCUUCCUGGAUGGAAUAUUAAAAGUGGUUGUGUUUGUUCUUGAAGCUGUUUUGACUGCAUGUGCACAAGGGAAGCAUCCAAGGAAUUGACUACAGGUUUGAUGCAUUUAUUUCUUGAUUGAAUUUCCUUCUUGUUUGCAUUUGCUAUCUUUUAUUCUUUGUGUUUUAGGACACCUAGCUCUUCAUUUUUUUAUCUUCCAGAUUUCAAUAUAUAUGUCAUAUAAAAUUGUUGGUUAGGCAGGGGAAACUCCAUCUAUAUAAUUUGGUUUCUACUGCUACAAAAAUUUGUAAUAAUAGAAGGAUGAUAAAGAGUUGCUUUGAGAGGUAAGAACAUUGCAGUAAUUAGUUAAUGAUCACAGAUUGAAAACAAGUAUUUAUUUUAUCUCACAUUAAAGCAUAGAUGUUUUUGUCUUGCAAUGCUAUUUAAGAUAUAGGCAAACAACAUUUAUGUUCUAAUCUAUGUAUGUCUGCUCAAACGUCACGGACCAGGAGUGAUGAAGGCAUGCCAGCACUGCAUAGCUCAAAGCUGAUGUUUAGUGGCAUGGAGGGUUUUGUUUGUGUGAAUUGAAAUUUUGUUCCCGCUAACUAUCAUCUCUAUCAGGUUGUGGAAUUCUAUUUUAGAUUGUCUUGAAAUAUUCUCCAAAUAGACCAAAUAUUGAAAAAAAAAAAAAGGGAAGAAAAUUAAUAACUUGUGUGUUCUUUGAUGUUAUUCUAUUGCACUGUUGGUGAUUUUAGGCAAUUGGGCAGAAGUCUUAUUACUGGACUAAUUAACUAGGUGAGCUGAGCACUGUUGGGCUCUGAUUUUAGGCACUGUUGGUGAUUUUGGAUUGGUUGGUCCUGUCUGAUCUCACCUAGCAGAACAUUUCAUUUAUUUUGUUCUAUUGUUCUGUGUUGUUUGCUUUUAUCUUUGUUUACUAGCCUAUUUUUAUUCUUGGUUAUCGUAAUUUAUCAUUGCUGGUUGUCCUAUAAGUAUUAGCUACUUGAGGUUCAUUAAUGACAUGAGAGACCCCACUUUGUAUUUUGCUA